rnacentral:rRNA from 1 species
GUGCCAGCCGCCGCGGUAAUACCGGCAGCCCGAGUGAUGGCCGCUAUUAUUGGGCCUAAAGCGUCCGUAGCCGGCCGGGCAAGUCCGUCGGGAAAUCCACCCGCUUAACGGGUGGGCGUCCAGCGGAAACUGUCCGGCUUGGAGCCGGAAGACCUGAGGGGUACGUCCGGGGUAGGAGUGAAAUCCCGUAAUCCUGGACGGACCGCCGGAGGCGAAAGCGCCUCAGGAGGACGGACUCGACAGUGAGGGACGAAAGCCAGGGUCUCGAACCGGAUUAGAAACCCGUGUAGUCC